UGCCCACAUCACCUUGAAACACAUCCCAUAUGAUCACUAAAGUUAAGCAACAUCAAGCCUGGUCAGUACCUAGAUGGUGACCACUUGGGAAUACCAAGUGCUGUAAG